rnacentral:tRNA from 1 species
GGUGAUGUAGCUCAGGCAGGUUAGAGCACAUGUUUUUACAUGAGGUCAGCGGUUCGAAUCCGCUCAUCACUU